rnacentral:rRNA from 1 species
GACGAACCGUGCUAACGUUAUUCGGAAUCACUGGGCUUAAAGGGCGCGUAGGCGGGCGGUCAAGUCCGGGGUGAAAGCCCCCAGCUCAACUGGGGAAGUGCCUCGGAUACUGACCAUCUCGAGGGAGAUAGGGGCGUGCGGAACUUCCGGUGGAGCGGUGAAAUGCGUAGAUAUCUGGAGGAAUACCGGUGGCGAAGGCGGCAUCCUGGACCAUUACUGACGCUGAGGCGCGAAAGCUAGGGGAGCAAACGGG